rnacentral:lncRNA from 1 species
CUUGUUCUUCAUCUGAGAUUCCAAGUUCGGCACUUUUUAUUCUCUGUUGUAUCCUUAGCCGGCGGACCUGAGAAAAGUAUACCAUCCCAAUUCCCACCAAUGUUCAAGUGAGCAUCAAUCAUCUUACAAAACUAGAGCAUAACGCAAUUAGAUAACUCACGCAAUAUUACAGAUGAAUAUUCCGAAAAACUUGCUCACCUCCUCCAUGUGUAAAAAUAUUUUAUUCCGACGACUUCUAAUAUUAUCUUGAAUUUCUUGUAUAUCCAUUUUAUCAAAGUCCUGGACUGUUUCAGGUCCUUCGAUUAUACAGAACCUGCAUCAGUAAAUUAAACCAUAUGAUUCAAAGCAAUAUUACGUAGUGUACACAAUUUAUUACGCCUGUAAGGUAACGAAUUUGAGAGAACAAGGCAACCACAUAGCAUAAGCUGCAAUCAACAACUAAAUCCACAAACAGAAUUGUGUCAUUCUGGCCGAAACGCACCAUUAAUAUGUAAGGAAAGAAUAGAUGAUUACCCUGCCGCGUUUUUUUCCGCUGAAUCAGCAUCAAUCGAAGCAGCAGCUGAAAACAUAGAAGCAUCUGGAUCGGACGAUGCCUUCGAUCGCCAUCUGACAGUAGAUUUUAGGUUUCGACAUAAGUAUCUCGAGUUAUGAUACGCGGCCGGGGUAUAAGAGGAAACCGACGGCGUUAGGGGAUAUGAAGCAUCCAGUAGUCGAGCCGAACAUACCAUCUCCUCCAAUUAUCAGUCGCCCUCCUUCACUUCCCUUUAUCUGUUUCUAUAACUCCCUAUAUGAAUUAUCGUUGUCUCUCUCACACAGUAGUGUGUGUAGUUGGGUUUCAGGUAGCGACAAUAGAGCAUCGUGAGGGAGGAACAAUUUAUGUAGUAUAGCCG